AGAGUUUGAUCAUGGCUCAGAACGAACGCUGGCGGCAUGCCUAACACAUGCAAGUCGAACGCCCCGCAAGGGGAGUGGCGAACGGGUGAGUAACGCGUGGGAACCUACCCAGCAGUUGGGGAUAACCGCGGGAAACUGCGGCUAAUACCGAAUACGUCCUGAGGGAGAAAGAUUUAUCGCUGUUGGAGGGGCCCGCGUCGGAUUAGCUAGUUGGUGAGGUAAUGGCUCACCAAGGCAUCGAUCCGUAGCUGGUCUGAGAGGAUGAUCAGCCACACUGGGACUUAGACACGGCCCAGACUCCUACGGGAGGCAGCAGUGGGGAAUAUUGGACAAUGGGGGCAACCCUGAUCCAGCAAUGCCGCGUGAGUGAUGAAGGCCUUAGGGUUGUAAAGCUCUUUUACCGGGGACGAUGAUGACGGACCCGAGAA
rnacentral:rRNA from 1 species